rnacentral:rRNA from 1 species
GUAGUCUCGCACAGAUGCAUAUCAAUAAGCGGAGGAAAAGAAACUAACAAGGAUUCCCCUAGUAACGGCGAGUGAAGCGGGAAGAGCUCAAAUUUGAAAUCUUAAAGGGUUUCCCUUUACGAAUUGUAUGUUUAAAGAAGUGUUUUCUGUUGAGGUUUUGGUAAAAGUUCUUUGGAAUAGGACAUCAUAGAGGGUGAGAAUCCCGUAUUUGACCUUUACUUUCAACUUUGUGAUAUCACUUUCAAAGAGUCGGAUUGUUUGGGAAUGCAGUCCAAAAUGGGUGGUAAAUUUCAUCUAAAGCUGAAAUAUUGGCGAGAGACCGAUAGCGAACAAGUACCGUGAGGGAAAGAUGAAAAGAACUUUGAAAAGAGAGUUAAACAGUACGUGAAAUUGUCAAAAGGGAAGCGUUUGACACCAGUGUUGUUUUUCUGAAAAUCAAUUAAAGAACUGUUUACGCUAAGUUGUUUAGACUUUAUCAGCUAACUGUUUAGUUUUGAGCUUUUCUUUAAUGCACUUUUCAGUUAACAAGUCAACAUCAAUUUCUUUUGCUGUAAAAAAGCUUGAGGAAGGUGGCUUGAGAUUCGUCUUAAGUGUUUAUAGCCUCUUGCCUAUGCAGUCGGAGAGAUUGAGGUCUGCAGCGUAGAUCCUUCGGGGCUAAAUGCAUUUGUGCUAAGUUAUAGCAUUUUAUAGACAACUUGUUGACUAUGAUUUGUCUUGUAGCUUACUCGCUUAUGUUAUUUUACCUACGCUUAGGAUGUUGACAGCAGUAUAGACUGU